rnacentral:misc_RNA from 1 species
AACAUCGCGCACCUGCGGGAACCUGCGGAGGGAUCAUUACUGAGUCACGUGCUCAAACAACCCUUCUGUGGACCUGAAAUAAAACCGUUGCCUCGGCGGGCGGUCCCCCCCAAACCAACCCCACGUGGUGGGUUAGGGGAGACCAGACAGUCCGGUACGCUCAAGGCGUCCGGCGCCAGCCGCUGGCCCCAAACAAUUAAACUCUAGUAAUCUUUACCUUCUGAAUUUCAAUAUUUAAAA